rnacentral:rRNA from 1 species
GGCCUUUUCUACCAUCCUGGCCUUUUCUAUCAUCUUAUCCAACACAACGCACGGGGUGAAACGCAACACACGAACCCUAAACCACGUUCGCGACCCUGCUCUGGCGCGGCGGAGCGACCGCAUACUCCAAUCCAUCCACUCCUGAUUCGGUUGCUUCCAAAAACAUGUCCCGAUUAGAGGCACGGCGAGAGUGACAGCAUCGAAUCCAUCCACUCCGGAUCUGAGGCGCAGAGAGGAUCCAGUCCAUCCAGUCUGUCCUGAUUCGAGGUGCGGCGGACCGACUGCAUCGAAUCCAUCCAGCCCGCAUUCGAGGCGCGGAGAGGAGCCAAUUCAUCGAGUCCGUGAAUCGCCGUCCGGCUGUUCGUCUCUUGAAACUGCUACCGUGUGUUUGAAGGAAGUAAUCACUCUUCAGUUUCUCUCCAAACAUUCAUGGCGGAUGAUGUGCGCCCCUCGCGGUCAUUAAUGGAUGCCUGGCUCUUUGUUUCUCAUUCUUCCGCUGUGUAUAUAUACUUCCUUUACGCUCACUCUUCUAACCACGGCGACAGAACAUCCAUCAGCAUGGUGCUCUUCUAGGUGUUGUUCAAACUGGGAGAUGGUCGAUUGAUUCGGCCAGAUAUUGGAAACUGGUUCUCGCUUUUUCUUCCUGAAUUUCUUCAGGUGAUAGUUCUAAUGGCUUCUGUACAGGUUAAGUGGAACAGUGUAGUUAUAUGCGCAAAAGAAUGUAGCCAUACUGUUAUAGAGGGGGCGGGUGAAGCCUCAAUAUCUUCUUCUAUUCUGAAGUGAGCAAAGCCCAAUAAUCUUACUGAUAUUUGAAAGUAUGUGUGUGGAUUUUCAAGACACGGUGCAGGCUUUGCAUAAUUCCAAGUAUAAGAAUUUUUGGUUUUGUUCGUUUCCAUUUGUAAGAUGUUGAUGUAUGGGAAAUGUAUUAUUUUCGGGCCAGAUACACUUGGUUCAGUCUGGGGGCAGUGAUGUCAGCAAAUCAUUGGAAGAGUUCAGGGAGGGGCUAUUUUAGUUAUGACCUGAGGCACAACGAGCAGGAGGAGUUGGCCAACUGGAGUGCUAGAUUCAGGGCAAGUUUGCCUAAGCACUUGAUAAGGCCAUAAGAAGAUGCAAUACAAUGCCACGUAAAAUUCAUCGAGGAGCCGACGGAAAACUACGAGUACUGUGUGGUCCAAAAUUAAGGGAUAAAAAUAAAUGUACAGGUGGGAGAGCAGUUUACUAUAGCGUCGUCCAAGCAAAAAAGAACCGAGAACCAGAACCGGAGGAAAUAACCCCCACGUUCAGAAUUCCACCGCAAGGAAUCAAGAUUGGGUCAUUUCAGUUCCCAUUGAAUAAAGAAAAGGAAGGCACGUUACAUGCUAUAGAUAAAUGCAUGCAUGUGUAAUUAAAAAUGAUUUUCUAUUAGGAAGUUUCCUAGUGUAGUUAGGUUCCUUCGGUUAGUUAGGAUUCCUAUUUACUUUCCUAGUCCUAGUCAUGCAUGAUUUGGUUUCCUGAGAUAUUCACGUUUGUUAUUUGGCUUGCUGGAAGGGUCACGUUUGUUAUUUGGCUUGCUGGAAGGGACGUGCAUUGGCCAUAUAACGGCCAGGCUACGGCCAUUGUAUCAGAUCAGUUUUGAGUUUAUUCGUGAGUUAUGAACAACACAGUAAAACGUCCAUGUCCAGGUUUGGG